rnacentral:siRNA from 1 species
UGGACCACUCAUUUCAGGACA